rnacentral:rRNA from 1 species
UACAGAGGGUGCAAGCGUUUAAUCGGAAUUACUGGGCGUAAAGCGUGCGUAGUCGGUUAUUUAAGUCGGAUGUGAAAUCCCCGGGCUCAACCUGGGAAUUGCAUUCGAUACUGGAUAGCUAGAGUUCGGCAGAGGGAAGUGGAAUUUCUGGUGUAGCGGUGAAAUGCGUAGAUAUCAGAAGGAACAUCAGUGGCGAAAGCGACUUCCUGGACCAGAACUGACGAUCAGGCACGAAAGCGUGGGGAGCAAACAGG